AUUGAACGCUGGCAGCAUGCCUUACACAUGCAAGUCGAACGGCAGCACGGGUGCUUGCACCUGGUGGCGAGUGGCGAACGGGUGAGUAAUACAUCGGAACGUACCUUAUCGUGGGGGAUAACGCAGCGAAAGCUGUGCUAAUACCGCAUACGCUCUGAGGGGGGAAAGCGGGGGAUCGCAAGACCUCGCGCGAUUAGAGCGGCCGAUGCCUGAUUAGCUUGUUGGUGGGGUAAAAGCCCACCAAGGGGACGAUAAGUAGCUGGUCUGAGAGGACGAGCAGCCAUACUGGGACCGAGACACGACCCAGACUCCUACGGGAGGUAGCAGUGGGGAAUUGUGGGCAAAGGGGGCAACCCUGAUCCAGCAAUGCCGCGUGAGUGAAGAGGGCCUUCGGGUUGUAAAGCUCUUUUGUCAGGGAAGAAACACCGGCUAUAACACAGUCCGGGAAUGACGGUACCUGAAGAAUAAGCACCGGCUAACUACGUGCCAGCCGCCGCCGUAA
rnacentral:rRNA from 1 species